AUGUUCUUCCUUCCUUCCCCUUUAAAACUCUGCCCCAACGUCUCCUCCUGCAGGCAGGAAAGCACUCCUUCUGCUAUGGCCCCUUCUGGCCGCAGCACGGGCUGCCUUCAGCCUGAGACGCAGGGGCCCCACUGCAGCGGGCUGAAGCAGCGGGCGCUCCGGGUCUCACGGAGCGGCAGGUCCAGGAGCAGGGCCUUGGGGGCACUCGGCGCAGGCUCUCCACGGCUCUGUGGCUCUGCCUCCUCUGUGGGCUGGCAGCCCCUCCGGCAGGGAGCGAGACCCCUGCAGCCACUCCAGGGUCAUGUCCCUGCGGGACCACAGCCAGGGGGAGAGGAAAAGGGUCACUUCUUAGUCCGGACACCUCAUGGAAGAGAGAGGACCCAUGGUCCGGAAGCCCCCAGAAACCUCUAUUCCAGCCUUGUUGGCCCACCUCUGGACCAAUCACCAGCAAGGAGUGGGAGGCUGUCGCUUUCGGGGCAUCCGUCAGGCCCACCCCUGGGGCUGGGCUGGGGCCUGGUUGCAAGGGGAAGGAACACGGGAGUGGCUCGUGGGUGGUGGACUGUGGGCACAAAAUCCAGGGGUGGUGGAGGGAAGACGGGACGACAGGCCUGGCAGACGAGCGACAAAUGGUGCGGGGUCUGUUGUCACAUACUUUCUAAUCACCGGUGGACUUGUCUUCCCCACCACGGAGCUGUCUCGCCCAGGGGGGUAGGCAAGGCUGGGUCUUUCCCCCUCUGUAGCCCUGUCCCUACCCUGGUGCCCGUUCACAAAGGCACCACUCACUUACUGAGAGCUUGUGGACUAGACCAGCAACGCUCUUCCAAGCACGCGGCUGUCAACCAUUCACUCUCUCCCCGCCUCGUUCAUUCAGUCACUCAGUCAUUCAUCACGGGGAGCCGUUUCUUCAAAUUAAAUACUUUGCAGGAGCCAAAUAUGAGGAGCAUACUUGAUGGACCAGCUCUGAGGCCCCUGCCUGGCACGCUAUUCCGUCUCUGGGCGUCCCUGGGAUCCUGA
rnacentral:lncRNA from 1 species